GCUCCAUAUCCUGCGCGCGCGCAGCUUCACGCGGGCUGCAGAGGAAAGUGGGAUAUUCCGCGCGGUUGCCACAGAGUCUCUCUCUCCUCUCUCCUCUCUCUCUCCCGCCCACGCCGCUCCCUGUGUGACGCAAAUCCGCGCGUGGGUGGACACACGGGGCGUGGGAGGCUUUCUGCACGGAAUACCAAACACAGGCAGGUUGAACACCCACAGAGACGCAGCAGCUCUGCACUCUUCACGCGCUCAGAUUAACUGCGCACGCGGCUCCUCAGCUGUAAAUAUUGUCUGAUUGUCAGUCAAUAUUAGAACUGCUUUCAGUCGUUCCCGCCGCAGCUUUCUGCCGUUCUAUUUGCUGUUAAAUUGACGGUUUUAAAAGUAAAAUCUACUCGUGCUUCUGUUUUGUUUUUAUUCAUUUUGGUAAUGUUAGCUUAUUUCAUGUUGUUUUAUUUUUUCCUGCUUUUUUGUGCCCCAGAUAAUAAAUCCUGGUCCUGCUGUUGUUGCCAGGUUUGGUCCCGACCCUCAAAAACAAAGUUUAAGCUAAAUAAUCAAGCAAAAACAGUUUCAGGUACGCAGGUAGGAUUCCAGCCCGCCCACCUUCAUCCUCUAAAUCCACGUCUGGAUGCUGGAUGUGCGUUCCAGCGUAAUUAUGCGGACACGACCUUCCUGCGGAUCGAACCAAACGUGGGGAAACGGGAGGUAAAAAGGAGCAGGGGUUCUCCUUUUCUUUCUUUCUUUCUUUUUUUGACCCCCUCCCCCCCUCCUCCCAUCGCCCACCUCGUCUCCCCCCCCUUUCAUCUGCGCACAGUUAUAAUCCGACUGCAAACAAAGCAAACAGGAACGCCAGCAGGAAAUGGGAUCUCCACCUACGCUGGGAGGUAGGUUGACACCCAGCCUGCCUGUUCCCACAAGUCCCAGUUUCCCAGUUUACCUUAUUUUAUGGAGCUGUUCCACUCACUCCCUCCUCUGCAGGUUCUUCUUUUUUUUUCAGUUCUGGAAAGUUCACGACCUCAGAUUCUAACUCUGCCCACCAGAAUCAACUUUUGAAACUUUUAUUUUGGAAAUUUGUUUUACACUUGAAGCUUAAAUCAUAAAAUGAUGUAAAAGAUCUCAUUUUCAUCCAGUAAGGAA